GAUGAACGCUGGCGGCGCGCCUAAUACAUGCAAGUCGAGCGAAUGGAUUAAGAGCUUGCUCUUAUGAAGUUAGCGGCGGACGGGUGAGUAACACGUGGGUAACCUGCCCAUAAGACUGGGAUAACUCCGGGAAACCGGGGCUAAUACCGGAUAACAUUUUGAACCGCAUGGUUCGAAAUUGAAAGGCGGCUUCGGCUGUCACUUAUGGAUGGACCCGCGUCGCAUUAGCUAGUUGGUGAGGUAACGGCUCACCAAGGCAACGAUGCGUAGCCGACCUGAGAGGGUGAUCGGUCACACUGGGACUGAGACACGGCCCAGACUCCUACGGGAGGCAGCAGUAGGGAAUCUUCCGCAAUGGACGAAAGUCUGACGGAGCAACGCCGCGUGAGUGAUGAAGGCUUUCGGGUCGUAAAACUCUGUUGUUAGGGAAGAACAAGUGCUAGUUGAAUAAGCUGGCACCUUGACGGUACCUAACCAGAAAGCCACGGCUAACUACGUGCCAGCCGCCGCGGUAA
rnacentral:rRNA from 1 species